UACGGAGGAUCCAAGCGUCAUCCGGAAUCAUUGGGUUUAAAGGGUCCGUAGGCGGCUUUUUAAGUCAGUGGUGAAAUCCGGCAGCUCAACUGUCGAAUUGCCAUUGAUACUGUAGGGCUUGAAUUUUUGUGAAGUAACCAGAAUAUGUAGUGUAGCGGUGAAAUGCUUAGAUAUUACAUGGAAUACCCAUUGCGAAGGCAGGUUACUAACAAACGAUUGACGCUGAUGGACGAAAGCGUGGGGAGCGAACAGG
rnacentral:rRNA from 1 species